rnacentral:rRNA from 1 species
GAUGAACGCUCGCGGCAGGCCUAAUACAUGCAAGUCGAACGGGAUCCAGAUCAAAGCUUGCUUUGGUCUGGUGAGAGUGGCGCACGGGUGCGUAACGCGUGAGCAACCUACCCUUGUCAGGGGGAUAGCCCGGCGAAAGUCGGAUUAAUACCGCAUGACAUCAUUGAGAGGCAUCUUUCGAUGAUCAAAGAUUUAUCGGACAAGGAUGGGCUCGCGUGACAUUAGCUAGUUGGUAAGGUAACGGCUUACCAAGGCUGCGAUGUCUAGGGGCUCUGAGAGGAGAAUCCCCCACACUGGUACUGAGACACGGACCAGACUACUACGGGAGGCAGCAGUAAGGAAUAGUGGUCAAUGGACGGAAGUCUGAACCAGCCAUGCCGCGUGCAGGAGGACGGCCCUAUGGGUUGUAAACUGCUUUUAUACGGGAACAAACGUCGGUACGGGUACCGGUCUGAGUGUACCGUAAGAAUAAGGAUCGGCUAACUCCGUG